UCUGACUGAGCUCGCGCGGUCAAAACAGUCAGAAUUUCAAAAUAAAACUCAUAAAAAGCUCAAAGAUGGGCUCGCGGAGGUCAUGUGACGUGUCAGAGUCCAGCUGUCCGGAAACAUGAGUUCACAGCGGCGCGUGGCUCUGUUGUUGUUGUUGUGCGCACGCAGGUGUUUACGUGACAGCAGCUGAUGUGAGAACAGCGCACGCGCUCUGCUGUCAUCUAGGGGCGGGAGUCUGAAGACAGGUGGAGACAAGACAAGCGCGAGGACUCCUGCCGGACACGAGCCUCGGCACCCGGGCAACAGCUCUCCUCCACAGACCCGUGAGAGUGCCACGAAGAGAGGGAUGGAGGAGCAGGAGGAGGAGCAGGAGGAGGAGGAGGACCUGGACGACGAGCUGGACGCGUCUCAGCUGGAGAGGUUCCUGAAGGACGGGAGGAGAGCAAAGUCCCUGCCGGCCUGCCCGGGAGGAGCCCGCGGAGCGGAGGAGGGCAGGAAGCGCGUGAAGUUCGCGGACUCCCUGGGGCUGAGCCUGGCCCGAGUGAAGCACUUCAACUCCCUGGAAGAGCCGCAGAUCCCCAGCAAGGUCCUGUCCCGGCACAAGAGCUUCCCCCUGGAGCAGCAGGACCUCCUGAGCGGCCUGUGCCACAGCUUCGCCGCCGGCUUGCCCGCGGAUCGGCCGCUUGCGUGCCUCCCGGAGCUCCGGGACACGGAACAGAGAGUCCGGCGGCUCCGGGUCUGUCUGGAACGGCUCGCCGCCACGCAGCUGGACGUGCAGGGGCACGUGCGGGUCCUGAGCGGCUGCGCCACCGGCAAGGAGGUCGGAGUGAGGUACACCUUCAACGACUGGCUGUCCCACAUGGACGCGCAGGCGGUGCCCGUGGCCGUGGACGAACAGGGUUUGGUGGGGGAGCGCUUCACCUUCACCGUGUACACCCCGCCCCUCGCGGACCCCGGCUCCGCCGUGCACCUCGCCGUUUACCUGAAGUGUGAGGAGGGGGAGUUCUGGGACAACAACGAGGGGCAGAACUACACCGUCAGGUACCGCUGAGUGCCCGGCCUUUGUCAGCGCCGCCUUCCACGCCACCUGAGCGGUGCGUAAAACCUCUCCAUCCUGCGUAAAACCUCUGUAUCGUAAAGCUGUCCGUUCGUCGCAAAGCUCCUUCCUUGCUUCUGUCUCUGACCUUCAGCUCUGAUGUCCUGCUCUCUCUGACCGCUGGCAGCGUUUCUCUCACUGGUCUCAGUUCCUGAGGUCAGGACGCUUCAAAGUUUCAGACGUCACAGCAGGAAAAAUGAAAUCCUGGCAGAGAAGUUUAAACUUUUAGUUUUUUAACUGUGACGUGGACGCUGCUCACUGAUGGAAAGGAAAGAUUCCUGAAUGUUGUCACAUGAUUCAUAUUUAGUAAAAGUAACUGAAUCGCUUUGGCUGUUUUCCUGCUUCUGGUGACGUCAUCACACGCCGCACUGUAAAACGAUGCUGAGCCGAACAGGAAGCAGAGAUUCUGACAUGUUGAAAGUGUGAGAGGAGUGAGCCUCUGUCCUCUGCCUUUAAAGCCAGAUGUUUCCUCUGUGGUGUUUUCAAAGCUCCAGAUGUUUUCAGUGGUGAUGCCGUGUCCUCUUCAGCCUGGAUUGGUCUGAUUGGAGGGUGGUGGCGUGGAUGCAGAGAGGAGCGGUGGUUCCCUCCUGAGCCCAUCAACCACAGAACCUGGUCUGACUGUAGAGCCUGAACACCAGCAGCGGUUCCUGAGUGUGUGACAGCAUGUGGCUGUGUGUGACGGGAGUGGCUGUGUGUCCUCCAUGUGGCGCUGCAGAGCUGUCAGUUUAUCAGUGCAGCUGCUUCCUCUCAGCCUCCAUCUCUGAGCGCUGAUGAGCUCCAACAUCUCUGCUUCAGCCCAGAGGAAUCCCAGCAUUUCAACAGGAAGCGACACUUCAAAAUAAAAGCCACAGCCUUUUAUAACUGAGAAUGAUUUAAAGUUGUGUUUUCUGACCUUAGCUGUAUUUCUACACGUUCAUCCUCCAAACCAUUUAAAUAUGUUUCUGUUUCGAUCGUCUCAUUUUGAGAAGCUGCCAGGGAGCCAUUAUCCUGCAGCUCCACUGUUUCCCAUAUUCCACAAAAAACCCUCAAAUAACUCUUUCCUGUGACCUCGUGUGACCUUCUGAUACCACAGCUGUUCCCACCAUGAUUUAAUAAACAAGUACAGCAGGUGUAAGAUGACCAACGAGGACGAUUACCUCACGAGUCUAAAAUAACUGAGACAAAACGUCCACUCGUUUCUUUAAAGCCUUCAGCAUCCACAACAAGAUGUUUUUAAAAGCAGAGGAACGUCAGGAAGUUCAGGAAGCCGAGGAAGAAGCAGACGGAUGGGAUCGUAAAGAGAGGAACAGAAGAAGAGUGCGGAGAUGACUCUGCUCUCUGAACAGCGUUUCAGAAGCUUCAGUGAAAACCACGAAAGCAGCAGACCUGAAACACCCUGAGCUGAAACACAGCUUUCUGUGACUCGUUGCCCACGAGGAUGACGGAGAGUUGAAUGUUUGUGUGAUAAUAACUGUGUGCUUUUCCUCUGCUGACUUACAGUUGGAUUGUUUUUGUCCUGAUGCGUGCUCCAAACGCCCAAAAAGUCGAUUUUGUUCAUCUGGACGAUUAGCUUGAGGAUGAUGAUGAUGAAACUUUUCUCCCACUGAACACAACGUCCAGAUAAACACAGUGAACUCCUGGUGUUUUUUCUGCCAUUUAGUGCCGGUCACAUGACCCGAUCACGUGUCUCUGUAAAUCAGGACUCAAACGGCCGUGACUGGACGAGCAGAAGCUGCACGAUCCCACGGACGCCGCUGCUCGUCUGGAGAUCCUUGACACCGUCACAUCCAUCACAGCUGCUGCUUUUCUUUAAACAAGGUCUCGUGUUCGUGAUCUGGCCUUGCAAAGGCACUUUGAAUAAAUCUCAGCUGGACAAACUCAA